GUCUUUGAAUACCUGUCAAACAGUUCAGAAUUCAAAUAUUCUGCAUUUGAUUCAAACACUUGCAACAUUUGAGCACCAGCAUUCACCUGCUCUAUCAAAUAUUUCACAAUAAUGUCUUUUUGGAGCCACCUCCUUCUAUCAUAUAACACAUGAGUGUCCAUGGCGCACCAGUGAACCCAAUGAGAGAGAUAAUACAUGCGAGUGAGAUUGAGUUAUGGAUAAAUACAUGUUGUAUACAAUAUGGGCUAAGACUUAAAAGUAAAUUUGAAUGAUAAGGUGAUUCUUUUCAAUGACUGCCUUAAUUGUGGUACUGCUGCAAUAUUGGUUCCUUGAGAGGAUCUGGAAUUACAGGUCCAACACUGGGUUGCAUUUCAACAAUCAUGCCUAAUGCCUGAACAAUCACCAGAAUAUCGCUGAAAAUUAUGGAAGCAUCGAGAUCGUAUCUCUGAAUUGGUUGCAGAGUGACUUCACAAGCGAGCUCUGGUGUUCGGCAUAUAGUGAAAAAAUCGUAACGCGAUCGCAAUUCUCUGAACUCAGGAAAGAGAUAAAUGGAGAAGCUAUGGAACAAAUAAAAAUUCAGAAUAUUAUUCAAGGACUUCCAUUACGAAACUAUGGAGAAUCAGUAGCACUACGAGUUAAACAAAUAUUAUACAUACUGAUUAUUAUCAUUAUUAUUCUAAAUAAUUUAAGAUAGGUACUAAAAAUGUUCAUUAAAUUGUAAGUUAUAUGUAACUCUGGACCUAAGCUAAGUGCACAGAAUUUUCUAUUGUUAGCUUUAAUAAUAUACCUACCUAGUGAUUAUUUUAUUUAAGUUUUUUUUCCUAUAGAGCUCAUAAAAUGUCCACUAUCUUGGAUUUUUGUAUUAAUUUCACAAUGUAUUUAUUUAAAUUAUUUUUUUAUUUUUAUCAAUUCAUU